UUAUUACUCCCUCUGAUCCUAAAUUCUUGACUCAAAUUUGUCAAAAUAUGAAUGUAUCUAUUCUUAAAAUGCGUCUAGAUACAUGUAAUAUUUCGAUAACAAUUUAGGAUCAGAGGGAGUAGAUC
rfam:Brachypodium distachyon strain Bd21 chromosome 1, whole genome shotgun sequence.